UCUCCUGGAAAACGGGUGGUAAUGCCGGAUGCUCCAGUUGAUCGCAUGGUCUUCUGGGAAAGCUUUCGCGGUAUGGGAUGGGGUCGCGUCCUAUCAGCUUGACGGCGGGGUAACGGCCCACCGUGGCUUCGACGGGUAGCCGGCCUGAGAGGGCGACCGGCCACAUUGGGACUGAGAUACGGCCCAGACUCCUACGGGAGGCAGCAGUGGGGAAUAUUGCACAAUGGGCGCAAGCCUGAUGCAGCGACGCCGCGUGAGGGAUGGAGGCCUUCGGGUUGUAAACCUCUUUUAUCGGGGAGCAAGCGAGAGUGAGUUUACCCGUUGAAUAAGCACCGGCUAACUACGUGCCAGCAGCCGCGGUAAUACGUAGGGUGCAAGCGUUAUCCGGAAUUAUUGGGCGUAAAGGGCUCGUAGGCGGUUCGUCGCGUCCGGUGUGAAAGUCCAUCGCUUAACGGUGGAUCCGCGCCGGGUACGGGCGGGCUUGAGUGCGGUAGGGGAGACUGGAAUUCCCGGUGUAACGGUGGAAUGUGUAGAUAUCGGGAAGAACACCAC
rnacentral:rRNA from 1 species